UUGCACAGUACUGAUAGCAUCAGAAACUUUUUAUCAUCCCCAAAGAAUGAACAAAUGAAUGACAGGAGCCACCUCUUCUACAGUGUUAGGUGGAUUAGGUAAAUAGCUAUAAGGCCUCCUUUGUGUUAUCAAGAAAGGCAUAAUGCAAUUUAAAAUAAAGCUUCUAUUGUUAUUUAAUAAUCUUAUUUUUAAACAGAUUGUCAUUACUGAAAUAUCUCCACUGAUUAUCAUCCAUUUACUAUAGUACAGAAAUUACACAUGGAUUCUCCAGAAUGUUUUUAUGUAACUCCCUUCCAGUUUCUCUCAUCCUCCUUUCAUGAGGCCAGCAGAGUAGCAGUUUUACACUGUGGAAGCCUUGAUAUGAGCUCUGGUUUAAAAACCAUUCUAAAUGGAUCAGUUUAGACAGGCUUUAGAUCUCUCAUAGGUGGUCGUGGAGUAUACCUUGGUUUGAAAAGGGCUACAGAACACAUUACACCAUCAUCUUUGGCAAAACAAAAAUAUUUUCACAAACAUCCUAGAUGCUUGAAACAACGUAUGACUUACAAGAAAACUGAAAGAAAUGGCAAUGUAUCUCAAGACACUUUGUAAAAGGUAUCUUCUUCCUACAUCGACAAAGAGCAAGACGGAAAAAUACUUCAAGAGAGUGUAUACAUUAUAUGGAAUAACCAAAACUGUAUACUAUACUCCAAUGUUGUGUGCAUUAUGCACUGUCAAGCUGUAUCCAACUUACAGUGACCUUAAUAGGAUUUUCAAGGUAAGUACGAUAUUUGAGUAGGUUUUUUUUUUUACUAGAGCCACCCACCCUCUGUGAGUUUCCAUGGCCAAAUGGGGACCUGAACCCAAAUCUCUGAGCUAUCCACUACUCCACACUGGGUACCUUACUCCAAUGCUGACACACCAUACAUUUAUUUGGAGAUAUUGCAAUAUUGGCUGUGUUAUAUAUCAGUCCUUUCCCUAAUAACAAGCUUCAGGUUAUCUAUGAAUCAGUUCCAAUACAAAUGUGCAUGGAACUAUUUUCUUUUUCUUAUCCUAGUUAUGACUAUCCAUUUUUUUCCUACCAUUCAUUGUUCUUUAAUUUAUUGCCAAUAUACAAGAGAACCAAUGUAUUCACCAGCCUACAUUAGGAAUUUUUUGAAAGGGCAAGUAACCAAUAUCUACUAAAUCACUCCAUCGCCCAUAGACUUGUAGAUGGUCUUAAAGAACUCUACAAGUUCAGUGAUGUAGGACUUACUUUUCAAGAAAUGUUUAUUCUUAUUUAGCAGGACUUGUCCUUCUGAAAGGUUGAUAAUUUUGUUUUUAACAAUGAUUUGCACCAAUUUACCUAGAAUUUACAAAUUGUUUCUCAUCAAAUUAACUAUGCAAUAUUUACUCAUUUCAGAACACUGGCAGAUGCCAAAUCCCAUGUGAUUAAAAAAAUUUAAUGUCUCACUGCCUCUAUUUGACUUAGUCCUUCAUCGUCAUCGUCGUCUAGUCAUUUAGUCGUGUCCGACUCUUCGUGAACCCAUGAACCAGAGCUCACCAGGCCCUCCUAUCUUCCACUGCCUCCCAUAGUUGUGUCAAAUUCAUCUUGGUUGCUUCGAUGACACUGUCCAACCAUCUCAUCCUCUGUCGUCCCCUUCUCCUCUUGCCUUCAUACUUUCCCAACAUCAAGGUCUUUUCCAAGGAGUCUUCUCUUCUCAUGAGAUGGCCAAAGUACUGGAGCCUCAACUUCAGGAUCUGUAGUCCUUCAUACUCCCUACUUUAAAGAAGUCAGUUCAGGCAUAAGUACCUAUUCU
ensembl:lncRNA